rnacentral:rRNA from 1 species
UGGGGAAUAUUGCACAAUGGGGGAAACCCUGAUGCAGCAACGCCGCGUGAAGGAUGAAGGUUUUCGGAUUGUAAACUUCUUUAGUCAGGGACGAAUAAAUGACGGUACCUGAAGAAUAAGCCACGGCUAACUACGUGCCAGCAGCCGCGGUAAUACGUAGGUGGCAAGCGUUGUCCGGAAUUACUGGGUGUAAAGGGCGUGUAGGCGGGAAUGUAAGUCAGAUGUGAAAUCCCAGGGCUUAACCCUGGAGCUGCAUCUGAAACUAUGUUUCUUGAGUGUCGGAGAGGAAAGCGGAAUUCCUAGUGUAGCGGUGAAAUGCGUAGAUAUUAGGAGGAACACCAGUGGCGAAGGCGGCUUUCUGGACGAUAACUGACGCUGAGGCGCG